UACGUAGGGGGCAAGCGUUGUCCGGAAUCAUUGGGCGUAAAGAGCGUGUAGGCGGCUCGAUAAGUCUGCUGUGAAAGUCCAGGGCUCAACCCUGGAAAGCCGGUGGAUACUGUCGGGCUCGAGUCCGGAAGAGGCGAGUGGAAUUCCUGGUGUAGCGGUGGAAUGCGCAGAUAUCAGGAGGAACACCGAUGGCGAGGGCAGCUCGCUGGGACGGUACUGACGCUGAGGCGCGAAAGCGUGGGGAGCGAACAGG
rnacentral:rRNA from 1 species